AGAGUUUGAUCAUGGCUCAGGACGAACGCUGGCGGCGCGCCUAACACAUGCAAGUCGAACGGAGUUCACUAGACGGAAGUUUUCGGAUGGAAGUCUUAUGAACUUAGUGGCGGACGGGUGAGUAACACGUGAGUAACCUGCCUUAGAGAGUGGAAUAACGACUGGAAACGGUCGCUAAUACCGCAUGAUGUAUCGGGAUGGCAUCAUCCUGAUACCAAAGAUUUAUCGCUCUGAGAUGGACUCGCGCCCGAUUAGAUAGUUGGUGAGGUAAUGGCUCACCAAGUCGACGAUCGGUAGCCGGACUGAGAGGUUGAUCGGCCACAUUGGGACUGAGACACGGCCCAGACUCCUACGGGAGGCAGCAGUGGGGGAUAUUGCACAAUGGGCGAAAGCCUGAUGCAGCGACGCCGCGUGAGGGAAGACGGUCCUCUGGAUUGUAAACCUCUGUCUUCGGGGACGAUAAUGACGGUACCCGAGGAGGAAGCCACGGCUAACUACGUGCCAGCAGCCGCGGUAAUACGUAGGUGGCGAGCGUUGUCCGGAAUUACUGGGUUUAAAGGGUGCGUAGGCGGUUUGAUAAGUCAGCGGUGAAAUAUUUCAGCUUAACUGGAAGGGUGCCGUUGAUACUGUCAGGCUUGAAUUUAGUUGCUGUGGGUGGAAUGUGUGGUGUAGCGGUGAAAUGCAUAGAUAUCACACAGAAUAUCGAUUGCGAAGGCAGCUCACAAAGCUAAAAUUGACGCUGAUGCACGAAAGUGUGGGGAUCAAACAGGAUUAGAUACCCUGGUAGUCCACACUGUAAACGAUGAUAACUCGCUGUCGGCGAUACAUAGUCGGUGGCCAAGCGAAAGCGAUAAGUUAUCCACCUGGGGAGUACGACCGCAAGGUUGAAACUCAAAGGAAUUGACGGGGGCCCGCACAAGCGGAGGAACAUGUGGUUUAAUUCGAUGAUACGCGAGGAACCUUACCCGGGCUCGAACGGUGCAUGAAUGAUUCAGAGAUGGAUCAGUCCUUCGGGACAUGUAUCGAGGUGCUGCAUGGUUGUCGUCAGCUCGUGCCGUGAGGUGUCGGCUUAAGUGCCAUAACGAGCGCAACCCUUGUCGUUAGUUACCAUCAAGUAAUGUUGGGGACUCUAGCGAGACUGCCACCGUAAGGUGUGAGGAAGGGGGGGAUGACGUCAAGUCAUCAUGGCCCUUACGUCCAGGGCUACACACGUGCUACAAUGGGAUAUACAAAGAGCGGCAAUACGGUGACGUGGAGCAAAUCUUAUAAAAUAUCUCCCAGUUCGGAUUGUAGUCUGCAACUCGACUACAUGAAGUUGGAAUCGCUAGUAAUCGCGAAUCAGAAUGUCGCGGUGAAUACGUUCCCGGGUCUUGUACACACCGCCCGUCACACCAUGGGAGUCAGUAACGCCCGAAGUCAGUGACCCAACCUUAGGGAAGGAGCUGCCGAAGGCGGGAUUGAUAACUGGGGUGAAGUCGUAACAAGGUAACCAAU
rnacentral:rRNA from 1 species